GACGAACGCUGGCGGCGUGCCUAAUACAUGCAAGUAGAACGCACAGUUUAUACCGUAGCUUGCUACACCAUAGACUGUGAGUUGCGAACGGGUGAGUAACGCGUAGGUAACCUGCCUGGUAGCGGGGGAUAACUAUUGGAAACAAUAGCUAAUACCGCAUAAUAUUAAUUAUUGCAUGAAAAUUGAUUGAAGGGGGCAAAGGCCUUCCUACCACAUGGACUUGCUUAGGAAAAGCCACAAGGGGGGGAUAACGCCUAACUGGGCUGAGAAGAUGAUCCCUCCCGCUGGGGGUGAUUACGGUCCGGACCCCUGAGACACGUCCCCACUCUCCAAUAUUGCGCACUGUUUUAAACUUGUAACA
rnacentral:rRNA from 1 species